rnacentral:rRNA from 1 species
UACGGGGGGAGCAAGCGUUGUUCGGAUUUACUGGGCGUAAAGGGCGCGUAGGCGGUCGUGACAAGUCACUUGUGAAAUCUCCGGGCUUAACUCGGAACGGUCAAGUGAUACUGUCGGACUAGAGUACAGAAGGGGCAACUGGAAUUCUCGGUGUAGCGGUGAAAUGCGUAGAUAUCAGUUGGAACACCCAUGGCGAAGGCAGCUAUCUGGCAUAUUCUUGACUCUGAGCGACGACAGCGUGGGGAGCAAACAGG